GUAUCUUGCUGGUGAUCCCUAUGUAUCUGAGGCCUUCUGAAGGAUAAAAUUCAGUGCUGGAGCUGCAGCUCUGCUGUUCCCAAGCUUGUUUCCUACAUCUCUGCAUGGUCCUGCCCUGCUGGGAUCUUCUUCUCAGGGGAAAUGCUGCUUGAAAGAGAGCACUGCAGGCAGGCAGUGCACAUGGAAUGGCAGAUCUGUAAGCGUUGCAAUAGAAUAAGCUUCCAAAACACUCCAAAAUGCUGCAAAGCUGUCUACCGUAAUUUUUAGGGAAUUCAUAUUCGUUAACAAAAGCACUUUGCUGCUCAUUGUGACUAAGUCUCAAAUCAGAGAACUCUAGCCAAAAGAAGCUAUGGGAAUUGACCUUUUCACUAGUAACAAACCACUGACUUUGUGGAAAUAUAGGAGUAGAUGCUUGCCCUUUUCUUCAGACAAGGUGUGGUAUGUGUUAGUGGAAUUACAGAAAAAUACUACGUUCCAUUAAAUAAGCAGUUUCCAUUCCAUUCACUGAACAAGAACCUGCUGCUGGGGAAACUGUUGUAUUAUUUCUUUUGUACGCUUCCAUUUAGAGAAGGAUUUUGACAGUUGAGGCAUCUUGGAUAAUGAACGGAGAGAAAGAAGCAAAGAAAAGCCACAAUUGCUGGCAUUGCAAUAGCUCUUUGGACACAAUGGAUCUGGCGGUUGGGACAGGAAAUUUGUAAAGCUGCUAUUCUUCCAUGCUGGGACUUGUGAGAACAUCACAGAAAUACCAGGCCUGACUCUGAUGCUUACUUUUGGCUGUUGGUAUGUCCUCCAUAGAGGAGAAAUGACAAGUAAAGAGCUGAUCCACAAGAUCUCAUGGCUUUAAUGCUCCCCUAAAAAUUGAUAUGUACGUACUUCAGGCCUUGCUGUUACUGAAUAUCAGGCCAGAUGGUGUAUGUAUGUUCUAUACGUAUACAUGUAUAUCUAUACAUUUAUGCAUAUACAUGGAAAGAAAAACAACCACAAAUGUUUUCUUGCAGGGUGAAUUGGUUUUGGAUAAUUUCCAUUUCCCUUCUGUUCAGCUACAAGAGUAUCCUAUCAUGAAGCAAGACAGACACCUAGUGUCUGGUUCAUGGAGUAAAUCUGCAGCUCACAUGCCCAUGGUUGCUGUGUGGUACUGAUUCUUGAGACCGGUUCAAUAUAUGCUUGUCUGUAUGGACCUUCAGAAGUAACAAAUGAAAUGCAAAAAUAAGAAUUAUAAUGGCCAAGUAUAUGUCUAUUAGAGAUGACAUUAGAGAAACAACAUUCUUGAUACCCUACUUUGAUUGUAAGGAAAUGAUUUCUGAAUCUCUAGAAGGUUGCUAUUUACAAUCUCUAAUAAAACUCAGGUG
ensembl:lncRNA